GAAUGUCAGGGUGGUCUGGCUGCGACACCUGUCACCCCGUUGAUUGCCAGGGUUGAUUCGGCGGAUCUGGCUGGCUGGCUGGCUAGGCGGGUGUCCCCUUCUGCCCUCACCACUCCCGCUGCGUCCCUCCCGAAGCUGCGCGCUCGGUCGAAGAGGACGACCUUCCCCACUAGAGGAGGACCGGUCUUCAUCAAGGGUAUAGGAGUAGCUGCGCUCCCGUGCUCAAACCUCCAAACAAGCGCUCAAGGGGAGGGCAUGAUCUACAGCCUUUAAAAGUUUUUUCCUCAAGGGUCGGCGGUGUAGCUCACUUGGUUACUCCU
rnacentral:snRNA from 1 species